AUGUGGGACAAAUGCCCAGGCUUGAGCUUGAUACGCCUCCAGCGACGGAUUCUGCAGGAUUCAUGUCAAGUCAACCCAAGCACAGCGCACAAUAACACAACUGCUGGGAUAUUCAAAUACAUUUACAUUUCUAUUUCAUGGGUAACAUAUUUCUUUAGCAUAGAAACUAUUUGCAUCUUUUUAUAUUCCUGGAAGCACAAUAUAAAACAGUUAAACAGUUCAGCACGGAGAGAUGACAGAAUUCAGAAAUGUGUGGUAGCCUAUGUCAGGGGUUCUCAAACCUGUCCUGGGGGAUCCCUAGCCCUGCACAUUUUGUAUGUCUCCCUUAUCUAACACACCCAAUGCAUGUCUUGCAGUCUCUACUAACGAGCUGAUGAGUUGACUCAGGUGUGUUAGAUAAGGGAGACAUACAAAAUGUGCAGGGCUAGGGAUCCCUCAGGACAGGUUUGAGAACCACCACUGGCCUAUAUUAUGUGUCAGCGUUCCAUGUAGUGUAUGUUAUGAGAGUGUUUUUUCAACUAGGGGGACUUUUGGCCCUGUUUGCUUUUGAGUAUUAACAAUGCCAAUACAUGCAUCCCAGAAGCAUGCUGUCCUGUACUUUUGUGCUUUUUUGGCAAACAUCAUCAGCAUUUAUACCAAAACGUAAUUUACACCGAUGUGAUAUCGAUCACAAAAUGCUGUAUAACACAAGAAAUAAUUUAUAUAAAUAAUUAAAUAAUUUAUUGUGUUAUACAGCAUUCUGUGAUCAAAAUCACAGCAGUGUAAAAUACAUUUUAAACAUUUGACAAUUGCAUUUAAAAUAAUUACAGCAUGAUUGGGAAUUAUCUGACAGAAUCUCACUGACACUGGUGUCUCUUUUUUUAGUACAACUCUCAAAGGGAAAAAAUAUGUUGGUUGUGAUGUAAAAACUUGAGACAGCUGAGGGAUUCAUUUUUAGGUAUUUUUGUACUGUAUUGUGUAUAAAAAUUUAUUUAAAUCUCAACAUUUUCAGAUUAAAAUUUACAUAAAAGACAAAUGCGGCAAGUAGAAAAACAAAAUAUUUUUAAUGCGACUUUCAUAAUGCAGUAAGAAAAAAAGCAUAAACAUAAACUCAAAUAUAAAAGUGCAUACAUGUAGAUGCAUGACCGAGAUAUAAAAUAUAUCAUUUAAAAAUAUAAAAGAACAAGCUUGACUCACAAUAGCGGUCAUGAGAGCUUUGUCAACGUCUGAAGAAACGCCUUGUGCAAUUCAACAAUUUUACCACAUGAUGGCGCUAAAUCCCAACAAUUCAUUUUAAGAGUGCCUUUGCCAAUUUUGUGUGCAAUAUUCUUAUUGUCCUAUUGGUGUCCUAUCAGAGAAUAUUUACGGUGGUUGUCUACAGUCGUAUGUCCAAUAUAUUUGACCACAUGAUGGUUUUAAAGUUCUGUAGCUUUUUUAGAAAUAAAGCUAUUUCAAGUACUUAUUGGAUUUAGUCUGCAGGCUUAUUUAAAACCUUUUUCUCAGACAUGUAAAACAUUUAAUUCUGUUACCUUCAGUAAAUACUGCCAAUAUUUACGUGGGGCUUAUUACAUUUGUAAAUUUUCUGCAGUCGCUUUUAUGAAAAUAAUAUGAUUACAUA
rnacentral:lncRNA from 1 species